UGACCGCGCGCAAUGCGGUAGGUAGAGUCAGUGUUUGUCACGAAGUAUUUUCAUAUUUUUUUGAGUAAAAUGGCUUUUGUUAAAUUAAAUAAUUCAUUUAAUUUAUAAUUCGCGAAGUUAGAGUCAGUGAGGUUGCCGAUGUUACUUGAACGCGCGUUGAUAGUCUUUUAUUUUUAUUUUUCUAUAUUUUUUCUUAGUCUUUCUCAUUCAUUUUCGGUAUAUUAGAGUCAGUGCUCAAGAGGAUAAGGAGAUCAAGAACAUCUUCUGCAGUCUCUGUAUCCCCUACUCCUCAAAGAAUCUUAUGACGCUUCAAAACCUAGAAAUAAAUUUUUCCUUUCCACCAUGGGAUUCUCAGUGAUAUCCACUUGACGAGAGAUAACUUUCCCUGCUCCAGUGCAACAUCU